GAUGAACGCUGGCGGCGUGCCUAAUACAUGCAAGUCGAACGAAACUUCUUUAUCACCGAGUGCUUGCACUCACCGAUAAAGAGUUGAGUGGCGAACGGGUGAGUAACACGUGGGCAACCUGCCCCAAAGAGGGGGAUAACACUUGGAAACAGGUGCUAAUACCGCAUAACCAUAGCUACCGCAUGGUAACUAUGUAAAAGGUGGCUAUACUACCGCUUUUGGAUGGGCCCGCGGCGCAUUAGCUAGUUGGUAGGGUAAAGGCUUACCAAGGCAAUGAUGCGUAGCCGAAUUGAGAGGUUGAUCGGCCACAGUGGGACUGAGACACGGCCCAAACUCCUACGGGAGGCAGCAGUAGGGAAUCUUGCACGAUGGGCGAAAGCCUGAUGGAGCAACGCCGCGUGGGUGAAGAAGGUCUUCGGAUCGUAAAACCCUGUUGUUAGGGAAGAAAGUGCGUGAGAGUAACUGUUCACGUUUCGACGGUAUCUAACCAGAAAGCCACGGCUAACUACGUG
rnacentral:rRNA from 1 species